GCGCCCGUAGCUCAGCAGGAUAGAGCAACGGACUUCUAAUCCGUAGGUCAUUGGUUCGAAUCCAAUCGGGCGCACCA
rnacentral:tRNA from 1 species